CUUGGUGCUUGCAGGGAGGAUAACAGAGAAGACAUGAAGAUACACCAGAGGGAAUGGAGGGGCUCUGAGUGAAAUCUACAAAGAUUUGGAGCACUGGCUUGGGCAUCCUGUGUUCCUGCAGGUGCAGUGCUUGUGUGCACCCCAUGGACACAGAGCAGGAAAGUGUGGGAGAAAGCCCUUUGGAAUAUAAAGUCAAGCAGGCAGAGGACAGCACAGAUGGAGUAUCAGCAGCAACUUCUGC